UAUAAUAAUGAAAACCGAAUAAUUAAUAACUGGACAAGGGAAUGAGGUGAGAAUCCUCAGCAGCCCCUUUCUACUGUAUAAGCAGACGAAAUCUAGAUUGCCACUUAACGGGAAGGUAGGAGAGUAGGAUGAAGCGAAGUCAGGAUACCUUGUUUAGGGAUUAAAAAAUA
rnacentral:ncRNA from 2 species